CGCGGGAGGGACAGGAUGCGCAGCAGUAGCGUCGCCGGGAAGCGGGGAAGUUGGCCGUACGGCCCCUUCCUGCGCUCCGCAGCAGAAAGGACAUGGUGGGGCCGCGCCGGGCCGGUGCUGCAGCGGGUGGGACCUGGUGGGGCCUCCGCUCUGCGCCCGUGAAAGGGCGGGGAGCGGGAGCUGCCGCCGUCAGGAGGCGGGAGGCACGAGUGCCUUUCCUCUCCUGGGCUGGUCUGAGGUGCGGGAGCUUCUGUCCGUUCCACAGCCUGCCGUCCGGAGCGGUCGGGAUACCUGCAGCUAGGAUGGUGUGGUCACUGCGCUCAUAAUUUGAGCUCUGACUUUCCUGGAACUGCUGCUACCUGUGUGUCCCCCCUGCCUUCCCCUCAACGGGGUAGCGUCUCAGAUGGGCCCAGCUUCCACCAAGCUCUGUAGGUGGCCAGGGCUGAUGUUUAGUAAAGAGGAUAAUGUGUAUUUUGUUGUUAGGUGCCUUUCCCAGGUGUGUUCCUAGGUAAGGGCUACCUGCUAAUCCAAUGCAGAGGUGAUACCUGUGUGAGUCACGCUGCUCAGCUUGUGUGUUGCCAGGAGGGUUUGUCAUCUUUGGGGCCACCACAGUUGUGACCAGUUAGUAUUACUCUUUUUAUCUUUCUCUCUCUGCCCGAAGGUAAACACCUACUAGAGAAGGUUUUCCCAAGAUUUUUUUGCCCAGCUGUGACUUGAACCUCUAGUCAUGUUUUGCAGUGUUGUUCAUAAUCAUUUGGGAGAUGGAGCUCUUCAUGUCUUCUCUUUUUAUAUUCAGAAUAGGGGAGGGGAGAGAAGAGAAACCCUUUAUCUACUUGUGAUUACAUGUUACCUGUUGCAUUUUGGCAAACACCUGCUUGUAGUGCUCUGUUGGUGCUGUUGAAGCCCAACAUCAGAGUCACACCUGUAGUACAUUUUACACAGCUAUCUCCAGUCAUGAAUUCUGAGGGCAGAAUGGAGUCAGUUAUUUUCAUGAGUUAAAGGUGGAUUGGAUUUUCACAUUAAGGUUUUAUCUGUUUCUAGGACCAUUUUAACCUUGCUCUUGGCUGCACAUUCCCCAUAGGAAGCCUCACCCUCUCUUCAGUGCAAAGGAAUACCUUGGGUUUGGACAUUAUCAUGCAGAUUGCUUAAGGUCUGCGUGUCUUAGUAACCUCCUGAGAGCAGAGCUCCUCCACUAUGAACACAGAGUUCAGUUAUAAUUCCUUCCUGGCAGGACUUCCUGCAGCAUUGCCAUCAGCUUGUGUGGAAAGGAGGAUAGCAUGCUCCCUUUACCAGCUUGGGCAACUGGAAAUUGUGAAAAAUUGGAAAUUGGUUUUACAACCUUAAUGUUGUUCUCUCAUCUCUGCUCGGCAUAUUCAUCCUGUAUGACUUUUAUUUUUUUUUUUUAGAACAACUUCUUAGAAGUGCCCUGUUUCUUGACUGGCUAGUACCAGGGUAAUUCACGGGGUUGCAAAACUCCCAACAGUUGCUGUUUGCUCUUUCUAGGAAUUACAUGUUCAAGGCCCUUUAUACGAGGGUGAGUUUUUGCCCUGAAGCAAGAUGAGUUUCAAUUUCUUUAAAACUUGUAAGAUCUCAUUACCCAGAAGUUUAGCAGCUCCCUAAUUCCCGUUCUGCCAGUCUUUCCAUCAAGAAUUUGUCUCCACCAUGGAGGCAUGGGAGGGGCAGGAAGGCCCUAGGAGCACUCCAGACUCUACCAAUACUGUCCCUUGUGGAUUAUUACUACAUUUUCUCUGCGGUGUUGACAGGCAGCUUGGAGUGACAGGUCUACUUAUGUGUAAUAAGCGUUGCAGUACAUGUGUUGCAUUUCAAAUUAAGAUAAAGAAGAAAAAGGAGCAAGUGACAUACAGAGCAAAGAACUUUCUGGAUUAAUAAACAUACAGGUGCAUCUCUUUCUGGAAAUCUGCAUCUCAGGUUGGAAGAGGUGGCCUGUAAAUUCCCUGUGGAAGGGGAGAAGGCCCUCCAAGCCUUUAAUGGAAUGCCUCAAACACUUGCAAGGAAAUAAAUAAUGCAAGCCUGCCAUUCGAAAAACUGAUAAGGCUCACAGGCACUGAAGAAGCAAUGUAAUGACUGUCUUGUGAAGACAAUAUAGCUCUGCUGCUCUUCUGGUGAGCUUGCUAGUUCUCUGUUCUCAAGGCCAUUAUGUCUGAUAAUUGACCUUUGCUUCCUUAUCUACAAAAUGCAUAUGAAAGUGCACACCCCUGCAUAUGGUAAUGAAGAUUAUAGAGGUCAUGCUAAAUACAUAUGACUAUGGCACUUGUCUCUCCAUCUAAAUCAUGCCACACAUAACCUGAGAGAAGGGAAAAACCUGAGACAAGGCUGUCCUUGGCAAGGGGAAGUGGACCAUGCUAAUUCAGCAAACAUAAAAGGGGAAAAUAAGCACCCCUAAGAGAAAAAAAAGAAGAAGGUUGUUCACUGAAUUUCACUGAAUUUUCACUGAAUUUUUUAGAGUUGGAAGGGACCAUAGAGAUCAUCUAGUCCAACUCCCCAGCUGAAGCAGGAUUGCCUGGAGUUGUUGCCUGGGAAGAAUUUUCCCAAAAAGGAAGAUCUUACUUGGGGAAAAAUUUUCCUAAGAAAAAAGACUGUACUUGGAGAGAUUUUUCCAAGAAAGAAGAAGAAGAUUAUGUCUGUGAAGACUCCCUGAAAAUGAUGCUGGAACCAGGACUGGUGAUCUCUUUAUCUCUGUCUUUUUCUCUGCCUUUUUCUUUCUCUUCCCCUUGGUUUCUCUUUUCUCUUAGAGUUGUUAGGUAAUGCCCUUAAGUACUGCUUGUCAUAAGUUGUUGUAUAAAUAACAUGCUAAGUAACAAAAUACAUACCUCGCCGCUUGACAUAAUUUGUUAUGCCUAACCAAUUAUUGUAGGCUUGUUAAGAACUAUACUAAUCAUUUUGGGAAACUAAUAAAAAAGGCUCA